rnacentral:rRNA from 1 species
GACGAACGCUGGCGGCGCGCCUAACACAUGCAAGUCGAACGAGCGAGCGAGAGCUUGCUUUCUUGAGCGAGUGGCGAACGGGUGAGUAACGCGUGAGGAACCUGCCUCAAAGAGGGGGACAACAGUUGGAAACGACUGCUAAUACCGCAUAAGCCCACGACCCGGCAUCGGGUUGAGGGAAAAGGAGCAAUCCGCUUUGAGAUGGCCUCGCGUCCGAUUAGCUAGUUGGUGAGGUAACGGCCCACCAAGGCGACGAUCGGUAGCCGGACUGAGAGGUUGAACGGCCACAUUGGGACUGAGACACGGCCCAGACUCCUACGGGAGGCAGCAGUGGGGAAUAUUGCACAAUGGGGGAAACCCUGAUGCAGCGACGCCGCGUGGAGGAAGAAGGUCUUCGGAUUGUAAACUCCUGUUGUUGAGGAAGAUAAUGACGGUACUCAACAAGGAAGAGACGGCUAACUACGUG